GAGCACGUAGGUGGGUUUGUAAGUCAGAUGUGAAAGCCUUCUGUUCAACGGAAGAAUUGCAUCUGAAACUGCGAGUCUUGAGCAUAGGAGGGGAGAGUGGAACUUCUGGUGGAGCGGUGAAAUGCGUAGAAAUCAGAAGGAACGCCGGCGGCGAAAGCGAUUCUCUGGCCUAUUACUGACACUCAGUGUGCGAAAGCUAGGGGAGCAAACGGGAUUAGAUACCCCGGUAGUCCUAGCCGUAAACGAUGGGCACUAAGUAGAGGGGUUUU
rnacentral:rRNA from 1 species